UUUUUAGGAAUUUAAAAUUCGAAAUAAGGCGCGCGUUAUUGGAAACGAAACGUAUUACGUUUUUAAACGACCCGUUACCGGAUAAACCACGUGGGAAUAACGACAAUUACCGUUUCGCACAAAAGCGGGCAAUGUAAUAAUGGAGGAGGUUAAAACUAUUAUUUUUUUUUUUGUUUUUGGUAUGGCGUUUUUAUAUAUAAUAUAUUUUUAGGCAAUUUAUUUGCUAAUUCGGCAAUUUUGGAAUAAUUUCAACGAACAAAUAUUUUAACGAUAUUGUCCGGAACGUUAAUUUUAACCAAAUUUGGUUUGAUUUUUGUGGUAAAAACCCCAAAAAAUUUAAAACGAUAAAUUAUUGCAAAUGGUUUUUCGAAAAUUAGAUCGAAAAUUCCGAACGACAAAUUUUGUCGAUUAAAUCGGAAAACCAUUCCGAACGAUCGGUAAAACGGAAUUUGACGGUCCUAUAUUUAUGGAGGAUUUUUGUAACGGUAACCGACAAUACCAUUUUUUAUCGAAAUCGGCAAAUCGUUACCGAUUAUAAUUUUAAUUUGUGGACUUUAAUAUAUAUAAACGGCAAAACGCGGCGUGGAUCGGGCCCAAUUAGCGAUAUUAUAAACGUAAAUCCUAUACUUUUUUUUUUCUGGUUUGUUAAUUCGUUUGUCCACCCAUGGUCCUGUUUAUUGGUGUUUAACGCCUAUAACCAUAUAAUCCACGACAAUGGAUUGUCGUAAAAUCAUUUGCGAUUUACAAUUUCGUUCGGGAGCAAAUAUUCGUCAAAAUCGCGGCAAUUUCCACAAAUAUUAUUGUAUUUUUAACGGCGUUUUGGACGAAAGCGAAACAUAUUUUUUGCAAACGCCAAAAUCGAAUCGACCUCCACAAAAUAAUGCUGUUAAUAUUUUUGGGCGGGUUCCGACCCGGUAUUAUUAUUAAAUUAAAAUAUAAACAAAUUAAGGUAAAUUUGGUCCGAAAUCCACAAUUAAUUAAAAAAAAAAUUCCUCGUUGCAAUAUUAUUAUCCAAUAAAAUAAACGGAUUUAAAAAAAAAUUCGCAUUUUUUAAAAUAAAAAGUAAAUAAUAUUUUUAAUAUGUGUUUUUUUAUUGUUUUUUGUUCCAGGGGACCUACCGUUAUUACGCGCUAAUAUUUUUAACGAUAAAAUUAAAAUUCCAUUAUAUUUUACAAACGACCUAUUUUUUUGUUUUUUAACCUUUUUUUUAUCGCAGGUUAUCGCAAAUAAUAUUUUCGCCGCCAAUAAUUCGAUAACGUUUUUGGAAAAUUUAAAACAAUUUAGGAAAAUUAAAUACGUUAAAUUUCCCUGGAAAAAAAAAUAUUCGAUCGGGAAAUUAUUUAAAUAAAUUAUACCACCCUGUUAAAAUUUUGGAAAUUUUUGGUUAAUAUAAUUAAUUAUCGUAAUCCAAUACGCCCGUAUUUAAUGCAAAUAGGCGCAGGCGGCCGUUUCGAUAAUAAAUGCAAUUGCUCCCGUCCUUAUUAUUAUAUUAAUUAAAAUUUUAAAAUCUUUUAAAUUUGCCCAACGAAAUUAUAUAUUUUUACAUUCCACUUUUAUAUUUAAUAAAAAUUACCGAUUUAGGAAUUUGGGUUAUAAUUUAUUAACGAUUACGUUCCUUAAUUAUAUUAGGGGUAAUAUAACCGAAAAAUUGCCGGAAUUUAUACGUAAUACGUUUUUUAUAUGGAACGAAAAUACCCCAAUAUACCCUACCCAAAAAACCUCGAUUUUUUUAAAAAGAAUUUUCGCAUCCGUAUUUACCGUAACGAAUAUACCAAUUUUAAAAAUAAUUGUUUUCCAAAAAUUAAAAAACAGGCCAACCGUAUUUAGUCGCAAAUAAACAAAUCGAUCGAUAUUUUGUGCGCCCGCGCAAUGGAAAAAAGGAAAAAUAAAUUUUGGAAAAAAAUCGAUUAACGUAAUGCAAAGGGCAAAGGAACAAACGAUUUUUAAACCGAAUAUAUUAGCCCUCGGAAAACCCGGCACUAAAAUUUAAUUAUACCAACUAUAUAAAUUGGUUAAAUUUUAAACAAAAAUAAUAUUGGAUCCAACGUUUUUAACAAUUUAUUAAUUAUUUUUUUCAAAUGCAAAAAUUGCGAUAUUAAAAUAUUAUUGGGCGAAAAUAUCGGUUUAUAAUAAUCCAUACAGGUGCCGGGAUCGACCUGUUUUUUAUACAAAAUUACGUUUAUAAAACGGAAAAACCUAACGCGGUAUAAUACCAACAUUUAUUAAAUUUAAUUCCAGCGGCCUUUUAAUUGCCCCAAUUGCAAAAACCAAUGCGUUAUUAACGGUAUUGCAAAUUGGAAAUAUUAUAUUAUUAUAUUCCAUGGUAAAUAUAAUGUUCCACGAUGGCCUUCGUCGAAAAAAACCGUUACGACGACGACGUUAAUUAUAUGUAACCGGUUGGAUAUAUUA
rnacentral:sRNA from 1 species